rnacentral:rRNA from 1 species
GAUGAACGCUGGCGGCGUGCCUAAUACAUGCAAGUCGAGCGAACGGACGAGAAGCUUGCUUCUCUGAUGUUAGCGGCGGACGGGUGAGUAACACGUGGAUAACCUACCUAUAAGACUGGGAUAACUUCGGGAAACCGGAGCUAAUACCGGAUAAUAUUUUGAACCGCAUGGUUCAAAAGUGAAAGACGGUCUUGCUGUCACUUAUAGAUGGAUCCGCGCUGCAUUAGCUAGUUGGUAAGGUAACGGCUUACCAAGGCAACGAUGCAUAGCCGACCUGAGAGGGGGAUCGGCCACACUGGAACUGAGACCCGGUCCAGACUCCUACGGGAGGCAGCAGUAGGGAAUCUUCCGCAAUGGGCGAAAGCCUGACGGGGCAACGCCGCGUGGGUGAUGAAGGUCUUCGGUUCGUAAAACUCUGUAUUAGGGAAGAACAUAUGUGUAAGUAACUGUGCACAUCUUGACGGUACCUAAUCAGAAAGCCACGGCUAACUACGUG